GUCCUGUCAGAGUCUCCAGCUGCUGUGAAACUCUGCCAUCAGAGUGCUGACUGACAGAGCUUUUGGAACGCUGCCAGCUGCUUCUGACUGGCAGAACUACAGCUCAGACCGGCCCUCUGCUCUGACGUCAUACUGACAUUUCUAGGUUUGGAUUUAAAGGUGUGAGGAGGUGACAGCUGUCGCUCAGAUGAACACAGACAGCAGCAGCGUCUGUCAGUGUCUGCAGACGGAGGAGGAUGUCUGUCUGACCUCAUCUGGACGGGAUCUUUAACAGUCAGAGCAGCUGGGUGAAGAAAUGCAGAAUGAGAAACUGCUUCAGCUGAAGAUCCAGAAACAUCACAGCUGUGAGAGCAGCUGGAGGAAGUAAUGCAGAAUGGGAAACUGCUCCAGCCGGGCUAAAGAUCCAG